CCAUUCUUAGGUCCUGAACAGGUAAGAGCCAAACUACAUGCUAUGCUCUUCCGAGGAUAAUCUGACAGUUACAGUCUGGUGGGAUUACAGAAGAGUGGUAUUGAAGAUAUCAAGAAAAUACUUUUAUUAUAAAGGAUGGAAAUUCUAGAUGAUGCACGCGGAAGAGGACAUAAGGAUGCAUGCAGAAGAGGACCCUGAUCUGGAAGGGCAUGAUGAAAGAGAUAAGUGAAAAUACUGAAGCAGAGAAUAAAGACAUCUAAGAGGCCUGUAUUUUCUUCAAUAGCUAGAUAUUCAUUUCCAUUCAUGUUAGUCUCUUCAGAGCAGCAGAUACAUGGCAUAAUGAAUGUGAAAAACUGGGUAUGACAAUGAAGUAAAGAUAUAUGCUAGGAGGCCUUUGCAGAUCAUUAUCUCAUGAGGGUGGAGUCCACAAGAUUGGAAUUAGAGCUCUUACAGAAGAGGCCCCAGACAGCUCCCUUGUCUCUUCUGCCAUGUAAGGAUACAUUAAGAAAUCAGCAAUGUGCAAAUUGGAAGAGGAUCCUCCACAGAACCUGACCAUACAUUCUGGCAUUCUGAUCUUGGGUUUCCAGCUCUAAACUGUGAACAAAGAUAUGUUUGGCAUAUCUUGAAGAAGUGGAAAUAUCACUGUAAUAUCCAUCAGAAGGCAACAUGAGAUAUACGGCUUAUGAGGAACAUUUUCCUAAUGUUUGAUACUUAACACAAGGAUGAAAUCAAAGCAAAGUUUCAGCAAGACCUUGAUUAAUUUUCCAAAUUCUGAAAAUAUUGAUUCUGCCAAGUUUGACCUUGUUCUUUUCAUGGAGGAGAAGAGAUUUGAAGUACUUUAUUAUGUUAUUCUCACUGAUGUCACCUCAUGAUUUUAUUAUUUGAUAUAAAAUACAGGGGAAAGAGAUACUUACAAUAUCCUAAUGUCCUCUCAUGUCACUUACAUUUUAUUCAUUAAUUGAUGGCUUCUAGAUAAUUUUUAAUAUAAAAGUUAAUAAUCUGCAGAUGAUGGACAAACUCCUCACUGUUGCUUCCCUAUUCUUCCAACAUUGUCACCACACACACACACACACAUGCGCGCGCACGCACAAACACCUCUUACAUCUACUCUUACAUUAAUGUGUUUCAACUAAAACUAUAGUCAAGUGUUGUGCUUUCUCCAAAUGUGCUUGUUCCACUAGAGGGUAAGGAUGCUAGAAAGCUUUACCCAUAUUCUAGCAUCUUUAAAAUUUGAGCAUAGGCUAAAUAUAUACCCAUGCUUCUCACUAUGUAUAGACUUUUAUGAAGUCAGUUAAAGUUCAAAUUCAUAUUAUAAGCAUAAUCAACAUCUAAAUAACAUUUAGCUCAUAAAAAUAGAAUCCUUCAGAUGAAGUACUGCUUUAAAUUAAAAGUAACUUACUAUUUCAUUUAUUCAUAGGAAUUAGUACAGAAAUAUCUCAAUAAAAUAUUUUGAGUGAUAUAAAAUUUUCAAAUAUUAUUCAUUCUGUGCAACUUAUUCAAUAUUAAAUUAAAGAUUAAUCUGCUGAUCCUUGCUGAUCUUAACAUCUUAUCAAUGGUUUUAAAAGAAAAUAUUUCUAUAUAAUUUGAUUUUAAAAGUCUAUUAACAUUGAGAUGAUUUUCUUUGGCUUUAUGUUAUUUUGCCCUUCACAUGUGUCCUAGGAAAUUAUGUGGAAAAAAGAGAGAACAUUUUCCCAAAAAUCUAUGAAAACAAUGAAACAAGUUAAUAGGAUGAAAAAUAAGUAUAUGUGGGAAGUAAAGAAUGUACCCAGAAAUUUUGCCUGGAGACAAUUUCCUAAAGUAGAGUUUAUAUUUUAUAUCAGUAAUCUGCUGAUGCUGAUGGUGACUCUCCCAGCCAAUCUUACACCAUCACUGAUUGCCCUCCAAGAGAAAUCUGUAAACCUGUGUAACCAAGCAGCACAUCUCCAAUCUGUGUUCCAACCUUCAGGUUCAGAGUGGAGUCAGAAAGAAAUGUUCAUAAGUCACAUUCAUUCAGAGAAAUAAAUGUGACUCUGAAUGAACAUAGCUUCCAUCUUGUAAAUGGAAAAGUACACUUUAGUUACUGUCUAUUGACUCUAACUUCAGUGAAAGGAAUAGGUAGGAAUUUAAAAAAAAAAAAUUAUUCUGCUCAUCCUCUUCUCCUUUUGAGUGCGUUUCCCAAGCCUAUUUUCCCACAUAUUUUGUUAAAUUGAUUUAAAACAUAUGGGAUACAUUCUCAUUCCAAGAAAUGGACAUUGAUCAUUAUUGUCAGAAGUCCUUUCUGUAUGUAGGAAGGAGCAUGGCUUCCUCAACCCUCAGUAGUAAUCCUACCCCAUCUCUGUGUUUACUAUCCCCUUGAUUUUAUCCCUCACUUACUACUUACAUUUAUGUCUCUAAAAAUAUGCAUUAUUUAGCUUUGCAUAUUUUGAAGUUAAAUCAUAUUAAAUUUAUCUUGCAACUUGUUUUCUAUUUUCCAUAUUAUGUUAUUGAGACUUAUCUAUACUGCUGAAUGCAGUGUUUUUCAUUUAUUUUCACAGCUUUAUCAAUUGUAUGAAUGAAAUGAUAUGUAUUUAUAUAAUUUUCUAUCAUUUACAUUUUUUCUUGUGUUUUGCUAUUGGGAACAGCAUUUAUAAAACUAUACUCGUACAAGCUUCAUAUGGAACAUAUGCAAACUUAUUUAGGGUGUAUAUCAGAUAAGAAAUUGUUAGAUCAAGGUAAGUACAUUUUUUUAUGAUUUACUUAUUUAUUCAUGAGAGACACAGAGAGAGAGAGAGGCGCAGAGACACAGGCAGAGGGAGGAGCAGGAUUCUGGCAGAGAGCCCAAUGUGGGAUUCAAUCCCCAACCCA